rnacentral:rRNA from 1 species
GGGUGCAAUUAUACCAGCACUAAUGCACCGGAUCCCUUCAGAACUCUGCAGGUAAACGUGUUUGAGCGAGAGUAGUACUACGAUGGGUGAUCUUCCGGAAAGUCCUCGUGUUGCACCCC